GCCCAGGUGGUGGAAUUGGUAGACACGCAGGACUUAAAAUCCUGUGGCCUCACAGCCGUGCGGGUUCAAGUCCCGCCCCGGGUA
rnacentral:tRNA from 2 species